GGUCUGUUUUUAUUUACUUGGGUCUUUUAGGACAGAGCUUUUAUCGUCGUCGAUAGGUGUCAAUCAAAAACAAGUUCCCCUGAUUAGUCGUUCGUUAAAUUUAGUAUACUUGUACAAUGUGACUGUUUUCGCGGGCCCUUUGCCAGGGUAGAUUUCGCCGAUCGACGAACUCCCAAACUAUUCGUCACGGUGAAAUCACAACGAGCCAAGAAAUAAAACCGCAUUUCGCAAGAACUAAAGAAGAAAAAAAAACAAAGUGCAGACAUAAGUGUUAAUUAUUUACAAAAACAAUCGAAUGACGACAAUGGGUUUGCCUGAGCGCAUCACAUUCCGCGCUAAAAGGAAGGUUUUGUGGAACAUACGGAGAACGUUAUUUUGGGAUUAGAGUACUAUCGCGAUGUCCAUUAAAGAAUUGUGAUAAGGUCGUCAUUAUUUCUACAACAGCAUCCAUUGAUGGUCUUUCUUCGGGAGAUUUGUGCCAACAUCUGAAACAACCGAUCGUUUCUUUUCUUACUACAUCUUACAAACGAUUUAUAAAUGUUUAUUUAGAAUCGUUGAAUCAUCAUGCGAAAAACGAAAGGGAAAGUAAUCUCGCCAUCUGGCACAGUCGAAUCCUUAAUGGACAAAUAUCAUUGAAGACAAUUUCACUUACCACUAAAAUUUGCUCCCAGUGCCUAACCAUUGAAGGGGAUGAAAGAGUGGAUUGUUGUCCCAAAGGAGAAUCCAUAGUUGCUAAAGGACCUUAAUUUCUUUAAAAGAAAAUAUUAUGAUGAACUAUGUGCCCCAAUCUUCACCCUCACUUAGGACAAAACCUAAAAUUCAUAAGAAGAAAUUUAGAAAAGCCCUAAUUAGAAACGCAGAACAAUCUCAGAAUGGAGAAUUAUGAAACUGUUAAAGUUAUCCUAGCACCAGGUAGAUUGACCGCCACCUUACACAUUCCUAUUCUAAAAUACUCUAAACUAUUCUAAAAUACCAGCAUUCCAAACAAUCAAUCCGAUACUCAUACCCUUCAACAUUUCUACAUUCCCUCCUUAUACCUCAAUCAAAUUCCAACUGAUUAUUGAUUGAUGACCGUUAAUUUAUUAUUCCCUACUUCCCAUGAUCUUAGACAUGAUAAUUAAAAAGCAUAGCAUUAUCUUUUAUUUUUUUAGUACUUAAGACCAUUGAUUAUUUAAGAAGAAGAAUAACAAGGAGUACACAUGAUCAUAUUAAAUACUUUUAAACAAAUGUUUUUCUGUUACAGGAAAGGAAGAUUCGAAGACGCUAUGUAUAAAAUCUUAAAUUUCAACCUGUAUAGGUAAUAGCUUUUCACAAUUUAUAUAAAUUGUGAAUAAAUAGAAAAUUCAUUAAAGAUUACCAUAGUAAUGAUUCAAUUACACAAUUGAAUCCUUAUAAAUAAUAUCAGAAUAAUAUGAUGACUCUUCAGAGAAGAAUAUUUUAAACAUACAACUUUUAUGUUAUGAGAAAAGGGUUUAUUCUAUUACAAUUUAACAAAAUACAUAGUUAAAAAUGAUUUGGGCACAGCAUAUGGAAAAAUUAUCAAGAUAUCAUAUACAAAUAAGAUAAGCAAGUAAUGUAAAAUAAAUAUAAAAUUAUUUAAAAAAGCUCUAAAUAACAAUCAACGUACUUAAAAACAUUUUUCCACCUGAAAAGAAG
rnacentral:misc_RNA from 1 species